UCAGACAGGACGUCAACAUGCCAACAUUAUUUAUUUUAUCUUGGCUCAUUGGUGUUUGUCUGGGCGUUAAAGUCGACCAAAGUCCUCCAGAACUUCUCAGGAGACCUGGAGACAAAGUCCAGCUGAUAUGCACCCACGAAAAGACCGACUACACAUCCAUGCAUUGGUACCAAAAGUCCCCUGGAGAUCGAGCUCUGAAACGCAUCGGACAUGUGUAUUACAGCAACAUAGAACAGGAAGAGGCUUUUAAAAAAGAUUUUACUAUCGCUGGAGAUAUGAGUGGAGAAACAGCAAAGAAUGGAUCUCUGUUCAUAGAUAACCUAAAGGCACCUGAGCACAGUGCAGAGUACUACUGUGCAGCCAGCUAUGCACGCUGACUGCAGAUCCCCGCUCCGUUAUACAAAAACCCUGAACCAGCUUUUAUCAAAAUCUAUGGUUUUGGAUU